UGGGAACAAGUAAAUUAUUUACCAACAAAUAUUACACUCAGUACAGCAUAAAAGAUCAGCUUUCAUUAGUGUAACUUAGGGGCAUCGAAGCACCACCGUCUCAGCGGUGAGGCCAGGCCCAAAACCAAAGAGAACACCCCACUCGAGCCCUUCUCCGGCAGUCUUCAUCCCCUUCUCCUCCGAUCUCCUCCUCAUUGCCUCCAUCACAAACAGUACACAAGCACUCCACAUGUUCCCAUAAUCCCUCAGCACGCCCCUCGUGCUGGCCAGCUUCUCUGCCCUCAACCCGAGCUCCCCCUCAAUCGCAUCAAGUAUGGCCCUCCCACCCGGGUGCACCACCCAGAACGCUUCGUUCCAGUCGGUGAUCCCCACCGGACGCAGCGCCUCUCCGACCAACUUCUCGAUGCUUGCUGAUAUGUGAGCUGGAAUCUGCGGCUGAAGGCUGAACAUAAGACCCACCUCCCUCAGCUUCCCCACUAUGGCUCCAUCAGAUCCAUCAAUUAUGUUUUGCGACGUCCACAUUAUCUCAAAUAGUGCCUUCUCCACUCCCAACUCCGGCUCGGCUCCCACCACCACCGCUGCAGCUCCAUCCCCAAACAAAGCCUGCCCUACCAAGUUCUCAAUAUGGUCCUUACAUGGCCCUCGGAAGCUUAUAGAUGUAACCUCCGAUGAGACAACCAGCACACGUGCACCAUGGUUGUUUUCGGCCAGAUCCUUGGCGAGACGGAGGACGGUGCCGCCACCAAAGCAACCCUGCUGGUAGAGCAUGAAGCGCUUUAUUGAGAGGGGAAGACCGAGGAUGCGGAUGAAGUCGUAGUCAGCACCAGGCAUGGAGGCGCCUCCACUGCUGCAGAAGAUAAGGUGGGUGAUGUCAGACUUGGGUCGACCCCAGUCCUCGAUAGCUU
rnacentral:misc_RNA from 1 species